rnacentral:misc_RNA from 1 species
UUUUCCGCGGCGGGUCCCGCGGGUCGGUCCGCGGCGGAACCUUUGGAAUUUUUUGACAGCAAGGAAUUAAAGACGCUCCAUCUUCAGAAAUGGACGAAAUACAAUUGCCAGAUUACGUUGAUGAGAACUUAAUAGAGUACUUUGACGAUCCUGAUGAACUGUUGUUGUACGAAGAUUUGGAAGAGAUGUACAAAUAUGGCCGCUUCUUCUACAUGUUCAAGUCUUGUGUUGGGCCGACAACAACCCAAACCGUUGAUUUGGUCGGUCCGCUACUGGCCAUGUGUCUCAUCCUGCGGCUUGUAUCAAUGCUUAAACUGCCAAGACUCGUAGUCCAUUUAGUUUCUUUCGUUUGCGGACUGGCGGCGUUAUUUUUGUUCACUAAAAAGAACUCCGUGUAUCCUUUAACCAUGAGCGCGCUCGGCUAUGCACUGCUGUUCGUGAAGAAUGGAAACAGAGGCAUGGUGAUGGCGAUUACGUCGGUCGCGUUCAUUAUCAUGUGUGAACUUUUCAUUGUUCAAGCUGAAAACUGGCACCAAGUUCGAGGUUCAAUGAUGGUACUGGUGAUGAAGCUUAUUUCCCUGGCUUUUGAUCUGGAUAAAGGAGUGAUAUCUCGGCCAAAUAUUCUGGAAUACUUUGGUUAUUCUGUGUCAGUCAGUUCUGUUAUAUUCGGACCCUUCAUGACAUAUACAGACUAUUGUCAGAUUUUGGUGGGGAAAAGGAUGAGUUUCUUGUGGUUUCUUGGAGUGAUCAGGAGUUGUUUUCUGUCGCAUUGUUGCUUGAUCAUAUCAGCCUGUAUAGCACCAUGGAUAUUUGAAGAGGACUCAUUUAAGUGGUUUAUGGCAUAUCAAGCAGCAAUGUCCUUUAGAUUCAGUCAUUAUUUUGUCAGUUUCCUAUCAGAAUGUACCAGUUUAUUAAGUGGAAUUGGAACUGAAGUGAACCAAGAAGGAAAACAAAUAACCAUAUGGAGGUCUGACGUAGCACGGCCACAGCAUAUUGAGCUCCCUCGUUCAUUGGUGGAGGUAGUUGUACACUGGAACAUUCCAAUGCAUGUGUUUCUGAAAAAUUAUGUGUUUAAAAAGGCUCUGCCUCUUGGAAGAUUUAUUGCUGUUCUCUUUACAUUUGGGUUGAGCUCAUUGCUCCAUGGCAUUAAUUUCCAGCUAGCUGCAGUUUUGAUUUCUAUUGGAACAUAUGCUUACAUUGAGCAUGUGUUUCGCCAGAAGCUGGGGAGAAUUUUCAAUGCUUGUAUCUUAGCAAGAAAAUGCAGGCCAGACUGUGGACAUGUUUAUGGCCAACUUUUGGGUACUUGCCGCAAAUCUUGGCUUUAGCUUUCUUGCAGUGUUUCACUUGGCAUAUUUGGGGAUCAUGUUUGGUAGUGACUCGGGAGAGCAGGAAAGGGGUUAUGGCAUGAAGCACACUCUAAGCAAAUGGUCUCACUUGGAUUUUGCCAGUCACUGGGUAGCGUUAGUGACAUUCCUUCUUGGUA